UAGGGAAUCUUCGGCAAUGGACGGCAGUCUGACCGAGCAACGCCGCGUGAGUGAAGAAGGUUUUCGUAUCGUAAAGCUCUGUUGUUAGAGAAGAACGUUGGUAGGAGUGGAAAAUCUACCAAGUGACGGUAACUAACCAGAAAGGGACGGCUAACUACGUGCCAGCAGCCGCCGUAAUACGUAGGUCCCGAGCGUUGUCCGGAUUUAGUGGGCGUAAAGCGAGCGCGGGCGGUUCUUUAAGUCUGAAGUUAAAGGCAGUGAAUUAACGAUUGGACGCUGUGGAAACUGGAGGACUUGAGUGCAGAAGGGGAGAGUGGAAUUCCAGGUGUAGCGGUGAGCUGCGAAGAUAUAUGGAAGAACACCGGUGGCGAAAGCGGCUCUCUGGGCUGUAGCUGACGCGGAGGGAAGAAAGCGUGGGGAGCAAACAGG
rnacentral:rRNA from 1 species